CUUUUAUAUACUUUUAUAUAGGCCUUUUAAAAAUUAUAAUUUAUAAGUUGCCAAUUUACAUGUUUUAUAAAAAAAAAAAACAUCUCUUACUAUUCUUAUCUCGAAGUUAAACCUACUUAGAGCUUACUACUUAACUGUAACUGCUUGCAGUUAAAACUACUACAGCUCGCACCUCAUAUUUGGCACGUGCCGUGUCAGUGAAAUCAUUAAAAUGGGACGUAGUACGAGUAGGUCUGCGCUCUUGGAUAUCUUUUUAAAAAGCCGUUUCAUCAGCAACAGCUUUGGGCUAUCCUGUAUUUUAAGCAUUUAUUUAGAGAGGAACCGCACACAAGGUAAUGAAGGGCAUCGAUCCAGGUUGCUUUAUUAACGGGACGUGCUUCUGAAGCGCUAAUAGGACGCCACUUAUUCUGUGGAGGUUUAAUUAGCCUCGCGCGGAAAAUGUGCUUACAGCGCGCGCUGCCACUCGGCCGUCACCUCGCACCUCGCACCCCGCACACACGCUCAUUUCACGGGCCGCUGGGACCGAGAUCAAGUCAGCGAGGCCCUUUCUUCAAACGUUCAUUAAAGAGACAAGACAUUGAUUUUUAAAAAUGACUUCAAAACUUCUCAAUACUGACCUACCAUGAGCUCUGAGGUUGUUAAGUGACGAUACCUGCUUCUAUAAGACCCACAGUGGAUAAAUGGUCAUUUGGACAUCAUCACAAGAUACAUCCUGUUGGGCUGACCAGCUAACUGCAUCUAAUAGCUACAGAUCUUAUGUGCUAAGACUGCCAAAAUAUUCCUAUUAUGAACAUAUUCUGUGUGUUCAUGAAGUAAUGGAUUGAUUUUACAGUGAUUAAAAUAUCUUUGUAUACAGACACAUUUUCAGACUUUCAUUUUGCUGCUGCAACGUGAUCUUAUGAGAAAACGUAUGUAUUUUUACGUAAAUUGUGGUUCUACCACACGUACAUUUACUUACGUUUUCA